CCUACGGGAGGCAGCAGUAGGGAAUCUUCCGCAAUGGACGAAAGUCUGACGGAGCAACGCCGCGUGAGUGAUGAAGGCUUUCGGGUCGUAAAACUCUGUUGUUAGGGAAGAACAAGUACAAGAGUAACUGCUUGUACCUUGACGGUACCUAACCAGAAAGCCACGGCUAACUACGUGCCAGCAGCCGCGGUAAUACGUAGGUGGCAAGCGUUAUCCGGAAUUAUUGGGCGUAAAGCGCGCGCAGGCGGUUUCUUAAGUCUGAUGUGAAAGCCCACGGCUCAACCGUGGAGGGUCAUUGGAAACUGGGGAACUUGAGUGCAGAAGAGAAAAGCGGAAUUCCACGUGUAGCGGUGAAAUGCGUAGAGAUGUGGAGGAACACCAGUGGCGAAGGCGGCUUUUUGGUCUGUAACUGACGCUGAGGCGCGAAAGCGUGGGGAGCAAACAGGAUUAGAUACCCUGGUAGUCCACGCCGUAAACGAUGAGUGCUAAGUGUUAGAGGGUUUCCGCCCUUUAGUGCUGCAGCUAACGCAUUAAGCACUCCGCCUGGGGAGUACGGUCGCAAGACUGAAACUCAAAGGAAUUGACGG
rnacentral:rRNA from 3 species